GGCUUCACCUGGGCGAGCGCUAUCAUCUGUUUCAAAACCACUGCUUGAAAACACCUUAGCAAGAAUUUUACAAGCCUUGCAGAGAGUAUUUCCCCACGCAGAGUUUGCACUACAGAAGGACCAACAGCCAGACAGUGUAAAUCAUGUUUUAAGAAAUUAUGCAGUUGACAGUGAUGAGGAAUCGCCAUCAAUCUUUGAAGAUAAGCCAACUCAUCAAAUGCCCAGUAGAGAAAAGGAAAAAUUCCUCAAUUUUAGCAGAAAUGCUUAUUACCAGCCAACAUCUUGCAGGCCACGGUUCUUACUAGUUGGAGAGCCAGGAUG